GACGAACGCUGGCGGCGUGCUUAACACAUGCAAGUCGAACGGAAAGGCCCUGCUUUUGUGGGGUGCUCGAGUGGCGAACGGGUGAGUAACACGUGAGUAACCUGCCCUUGACUUUGGGAUAACUUCAGGAAACUGGGGCUAAUCCCGGAUAGGAGCUCCUGCUGCAUGGUGGGGGUUGGAAAGUUUCGGCGGUUGGGGAUGGACUCGCGGCUUAUCAGCUUGUUGGUGGGGUAGUGGCCUACCAAGGCUUUGACGGGUAGCCGGCCUGAGAGGGUGACCGGCCACAUUGGGACUGAGAGACGGCCCAGACUCCUACGGGAGGCAGCAGGGGGGAAUAUUGCACAAUGGGCGGAAGCCUGAUGCAGCAACGCCGCGUGCGGGAUGACGGCCUUCGGGUUGUAAACCGCUUUCGCCUGUGACGAAGCGUGAGUGACGGUAAUGGGUAAAGAAGCACCGGCUAACUACGUG
rnacentral:rRNA from 1 species